rnacentral:rRNA from 1 species
CGAACGGGUGCUUAACACGUGGGCAAUCUGCCGAGAAGUGGGGGAUAGCUCGCCGAAAGGCGAAUUAAUACCUGCAUGUGAUCAGAGUGGACAUCCAUUCAAAAUCAAAGUCGGGGCAACCUGACGCUUCUUGAGGAGCCCGCGGCCUAUCAGCUAGUUGGUGAGGUAACGGCCCACCAAGGCUUUGACGGGUAGCUGGUCUGAGAGGACGACCAGCCACACUGGGACUGAGACACGGCCCAGACACCAUACGGGUGGCAGCAGUCGAGAAUUUUUCUCAAUGGGGGAAACCCUGAAGGAGCGACGCCGCGUGGAGGAUGAAGGUCUUCGGGUUGUAAACUCCUGUCAUUUGGGAACAAUGCGCAAAUAUUAACUGUAUUUGCGUUGAUAGUACCAGAAGAGGAAGAGACGGCUAACUCUGUGCCAGCCGCCGCGG